rnacentral:tRNA from 1 species
UCCGAUCAACUGGAAUUGAACCAAUACUAAGAGGGCUACAACCUCCUGUGCUACCACUACACCAUGAUCAA